rnacentral:rRNA from 1 species
UACGUAGGGUGCAAGCGUUGUCCGGAAUUAUUGGGCGUAAAGAGCUCGUAGGCGGUUCAGUAAGUCGGGUGUGAAAACUUUGGGCUUAACCCAAAGCGUGCAUCCGAUACUGCUGUGACUUGAGUUCGGUAGGGGAGUGGGGAAUUCCUAGUGUAGCGGUGAAAUGCGCAGAUAUUAGGAGGAACACCGGUGGCGAAGGCGCCACUCUGGGCCGAAACUGACGCUGAGGAGCGAAAGCAUGGGUAGCAAACAGG